CGCUGGCGGCGUGCUUAACACAUGCAAGUCGAACGGUGAUGACCAGCUUGCUGGUCUGAUCAGUGGCGAACGGGUGAGUAACACGUGAGCAACCUGCCCUUCACUCUGGGAUAACCACGGGAAACGGUGGCUAAUACCGGAUACGAGACGCACACGCAUGUGUAGUGUCUGGAAAGAUUUAUCGGUGGGGGAUGGGCUCGCGGCCUAUCAGCUUGUUGGUGGGGUAGUGGCCUACCAAGGCGACGACGGGCAGCCGGCCUGAGAGGGCGACCGGCCACACUGGGACUGAGACACGGCCCAGACUCCUACGGGAGGCAGCAGUGGGGAAUAUUGCACAAUGGGCGCAAGCCUGAUGCAGCGACGCCGCGUGAGGGAUGACGGCCUUCGGGUUGUAAACCUCUUUCAGCAGGGAAGAAGCGCAAGUGACGGUACCUGCAGAAGAAGCGCCGGCU
rnacentral:rRNA from 1 species